AUUGAACGCUGGCGGCAUGCCUUACACAUGCAAGUCGAACGGUAACAGGUCUUCGGAUGCUGACGAGUGGCGAACGGGUGAGUAAUACAUCGGAACGUGCCUAGUAGUGGGGGAUAACUACUCGAAAGAGUGGCUAAUACCGCAUGAGAUCUACGGAUGAAAGCAGGGGAUCGCAAGACCUGGUGCUACUAGAGCGGCCGAUGGCAGAUUAGGUAGUUGGUGGGAUAAAAGCUUACCAAGCCGACGAUCUGUAGCUGGUCUGAGAGGACGAUCAGCCACACUGGGACUGAGACACGGCCCAGACUCCGACGGGAGGCAGAAGUGGGGAAUUUUGGACAAUGGGCGCAAGCCUGAUCCAGCAAUGCCGCGUGCAGGAUGAAGGCCUUCGGGUUGUAAACUGCUUUUGUACGGAACGAAAAGCCCUGGGUUAAUACCCUGGGGUCAUGACGGUACCGUAAGAAUAAGCACCGGCUAACUACGUGCCAGCCGCCGCGGUAACAC
rnacentral:rRNA from 1 species